rnacentral:rRNA from 1 species
GACGGAGGAUGCAAGUGUUAUCCGGAGUCACUGGGCGUAAAGCGUCUGUAGGUGGUUUAAAAAGUCCACUGUUAAAACUUGAAGCUUAACUUCAAAGAUGCCGUGGAAACUUUUAAACUUGAGUAUGAUAGGGGUAGAGGGAAUUUCCAGUGGAGCGGUGAAAUGCGUAGAUAUUGGAAAGACCACCAAUGGCGAAGGCACUCUACUGGGCCAUUACUGACACUGAGAGACGAAAGCGAGGGUAGCGAAUGGG